rnacentral:lncRNA from 1 species
GCAAUGGUACCAGAUAUCUGGAUAGGUUGAAUAGUCACAAUCACAACAUUCAGAACCUACGCGAAUAUGGCUACUGUAUAAUUCAUCUCUUUUGACCCCUGUGUAUAGGACGACUCAGGGUUAAACUGUCAACCCUGAUCAGAUCAUCCGAAUCGUGCUCAACUCAAACAGUCCUGUGACUCCUCACUAGGACUAUCCUGGCCA